GUUGAAAGAUUGAGAGUGACUUUUUUUUAAAGAGGAUGAAGAAAUUUAAUGUUACUCAAAAUAAAAUGAGAAAUUAAAGAGACGAGUUUCUAGAAGAGCAGGAAGGUAUAGAGAAAGGGUCAAAAAUAUAUUUGAGAGAUAAAUAAAUAAAAAACAGUGCAAAUUUGUGGAUUUUUAAAAUGGAGGUAAUGUACCUAAUGUGUACAUAAAGCAAGAUGAAUGAGACUCAAUCGAAUUUGCCUCCGGUAUCUAAUAAAUGGGUCACAAGUCUACUCUAUUCAUUUCGUCGUUCUUUCUGAAACGGAGUUUGAUUAAAUGACACAAGAAUUGAUACAUUCAACGUUGUUUUGCAUCUUUUCCCAUUUACAUAUUUGACAUUGCAAAUAUUCGAAUUAAACCUAACGCGGUUUAUUCGAAUUGUGUAGUACGUAAAUGAUAAUCUAGAAAAGCCAGCAAUAUUUUAGGAGAUUUGGGCAUUCCGCAGCUGACAAGUGAUUAUAUACGCCUCAGAUUUUUGGUUCAGGGAUAUGGUUCCAUAUUGGUUCAAACAACUUGACGAGAAGCUGAAGUACCAUUUUAGGGGGCCCGAACAGUUGUGCAUAACAGCUGUAACAAAGAGGAGACUGCCAUGCCACUUUUUCCAAAAUACAGUAGAUAAACAAUCUUCGAAUAUAAACACGAAACUUAGAAUAAUAUUAAUAAACACCAAAAUUAGAAAAUUAUGAAAGCACGAAACUUAGAAAAUUAUAAGCUUGGAGACGCGAACGUGGUAAAUAGUAAAUUUGAAAAAAGCUUGUCAAAAUACAAGCAGUUAAAUAGAAUUGUAUUGCUAUGAUUCUUUGCUGCAAAUACAGUUUUAUUUGAGAAUGACAGGAAUAUGAAUCAACGUUGAUGAAGAAUGCAACAAUUAUCACCAAAAAUAAAAUUUAUUGCAUUUUUGUUCCUGUCAUUUAGCAUUGACAAUAAGUCUAACCAUCCAUCAGCAAGGAAAUCAAUAGACACGAGCUUUGGGAGGGAAUGAUUCAACCUCAUCAUCCAAUGUAUUCAAAUGCACUGGCCUGUAGUCUAACCGGACCUUCUCGUUCUCCCAGUAUCUGCAAAUGAAUGCACACUUAGUUAACACGAAAUUUAUUGACACAGUUUUUUCCUCAGUUGAAUAAUUGUAAAUAGUACAAGCAGCUCCAUUUUAGCCGACUCCACCCAUUAAUCUUUCAGAAUAGCUGGUUAAUUAAUAUUGAAUCGAUUAAUCAUCCCUUAGUGAUCAUGGUGAAAACAUUGAUCCCUUUCAUUUGUAUUUCAAGCUGACAUAAUUCUUACUCGAAAGAACAUGAUAGGUUGUUUGAUCAUCUCGGAUCUCCAUUCUUAAAUUAAAAUUGUUGUUUUCUAGACAAUAUCACGCUUCCGGUCAGAGUUAGGAUUAAGUAAUACAACCAAAAUAUCUCCCUCACACCAACUUCUCUAAUGCGUUGCAAAAUACCAGAUUCUUACAUCUUUAAAUUAACUGUCAUUGAGUAAAAGAUCACUAUUAGAGACAAUAGCAGCUAAUUUUCCACCUAAAAAGGGAGCAUGCUCAAUUAAUGACAAUAUCAUCCCAGUCACAAGUGCAUCAACUUAGUGGGCGACUGGGAUGAUCCAACGAUGGACGAGAGCUGAGAGAACUCCAGCUCUUAAGAAACAAAAGGCUCAAAGACCGAAAGAAGAUUAACAGGUUGAGGAUCACUGAAAUGGAUCUACCUCAUUAACAUGUUUAACUCCACGAUUGCAGCUGCAACUAGCACCAAGCAUUUACGGCUUUAAAAAUAGUUAUUACAUAAAAAUGACGGAAUGAGGAUUCAAUUUCACCAACAAAAUAUAUCACAACUGAUAAGUUUGAUACAGUUUACAAAAGAAGAAAAAAAGAAGGUAGUUAGUACAGUUGUAAUUACAUAAUUGUAAUAGACUAUUAUAAAUAGUCUUACUAGGAGGUGAGCAGACAGUUUUUGGAAUAUUUUGUAAAGGGAAAAGUUAGGAGAGACAGGUCCUCUCGAAAGACCUUAAAAAUUGUUCAUUGUUGGUUCCUGUUCUUACCACAUUGGUAGAACAGGACUGUCUGGUUUCUUAGUGAACAUCCAAGAACCUGUCUCGGAGUUCUGUGCGUGUGUAGUAACAGUCUGGAUACCUAUCAACAACCCAUUUGAUACACUUUAUCAGUCUCAAAUUUGUGCUUUUUUAGACAAUUAGCACCUACUCAGACCCAGCAAAACCCAGAAAUUAGGUUGGGUCAAAACUGGUUAAAUCACUCCAACGAAAAACAAACAUAAAGAUGGAGGAGUGUCAUCAUUUUAUUCCUAUCUCUACAAACGAAGCAUAGGAACAAAUAUCCCAGUUCUAUUUCAUACUCACUACCAUUCCUUUCCAUCAAUUCAAAUUACCUAAUAACAUCAAGCUACCAAUGGAAAGAAAAAAAUCACUACUCAAG
rnacentral:sRNA from 1 species